CCCACCCGUUGCCUCUGUCGGGCAGAUCUGGCUGGACUGCCGCUGCCCGGCGGGAGUUCUGCACCCCCCCACCCGUUGCUUCCGUCAGGCAGAUCCAGCUGGACUGCCGCUGCCUGGCAGGGGUUCUGCACCCUCCGACCCGUUGCUUCCGUCGGGCGGGUCUGGCUAGACUGCCGCUGCCCGGCUGGGGUUCUGCCUUUUCCUCCUCUCAUUUCCCAAGGGUUGUGCCCUGCACCUGCCCAGGUGUCCGCAACUGGCCCAGGCCUCAGUGCUUUCCACCUGGGCUGCGGCCCUGUCCGGGAUCCAUGCGGCUCGCCAUGAGGAAACUGCCUGCCUGCCUGCCCCGAACUGUGGGAUGCACCAUCAAUACCUCUCGGAGACGUGAGUCAAGUUCUCCUCUGCCAUCACUGUGCUGGGUGGUCAUCGGCAUGAAAAUUGGAAGAUAGCAUCCAUCUGAGGACCCCACUGCAGGGUUCUUUUGAAGACCUUGACCUGGAGUUACACGCUGGCUAUGGUUCUUUGCAGGAAUGGGACCCACUCUCGGGGUUCAUAACUGGUCAUUGUUUGACACACCAAAGGCUCGGCCUAAGAGUCUGGCUCGGAUUCAGAAGUUGAGGAUCUCAGGGCUCUGGAGACUGGCGGAUCAAGGGUUGGUGUCACGACAGGAGACCCGGGUAUCGUUGGGGGAGUCAAAAUAUCUACAGCUGUGUGCCUGGAGAACUGGGAUCUUAGUGAUCUUCGGGCACAGAGCUUGAAAAAAGCAACAUAACAGACCAGCAAAUUGUUUGUUAUGUCUCCGCGCUCGCUGGGAAAAUGGAGACACCUCUUUCUCCCUCCUUAUGGGGAGAGAGAACCUGCGGUGUGUCGAAUACCAGGUGAAAAGUGAAGUCUUUGGGGUGACUGCAAGUCUGUGCCUUUGCUAUUGCUUUGUUCAAGCUUGAGUUCUUGGUGCCUUUUUUUACC